AGUCGUGCGACAGUUUCCUUCGGGGAAAUGGAGGAGCGGCGCAAGGGAGAGUAACGCGUGGAUACCUGCCCCGAGGUCCGGGAUAGCCCAUCGAAAGGUGGGGUAAUACCGGAUAACAUCUCCGGAUCAAAGGUGUGAUUCCGCCUCGGGAUGGGUCCGCGUCCUAUUAGCUUGUUGGUGGGGUAAUGGCCUACCAAGGCAACGAUGGGUAGUGGGCGUUAGCGCGUGGCCCGCCUCACUGGGACUGAGACACUGCCCAGACACCUACGGGUGGCUGCAGUCGAGAAUCUUCGGCAAUGGGCGCAAGCCUGACCGAGCGACGCCGCGUGCGGGAUGAAGGCCUUCGGGUUGUAAACCGCUGUCAGAGGGGAGGAAGGGUCCGUGAAGAGCGGAACUUGACCUAUCCUCAGAGGAAGUGCGGGCUAAGUUCGUGCCAGCAGCCGCGGUAAGACGAACCGCACAAACGUUAUUCGGAAUCACUGGGCUUAAAGGGUGCGUAGGCGGCCGUUCAAGUCGGGUGUGAAAGCCCUCAGCGUAACUGAGGAAUUGCGCCCGAUACUGUUCGGCUUUGAGGGAGACAGAGGUGACCGGAACUUGCGGUGGACCGGUGAAAUGCGUUGAUAUCGCAAGGAACACCAGUAGCGAAAGCGGCUCACUGGGUCUCUUCUGACGCUGAGGCACGAAAGCUAGGGUAGCGAAGAGGAUUAGAUACCCUCGUAGUCCUAGCUGUAAACGCUGAGCACUGGAUUGGAGGGUCCUCCAUAGCCUUCCGGUCGUAGCGAAAGUGUUAAGUGCUCCGCCUGGGGAGUAUGGUCGCAAGGCCGAAACUCAAAGGAAUUGACGGGGGCUCACACAAGCGGUGGAGGAUGUGGCUUAAUUCGAGGCUACGCGAAGAACCUUAUCCUGGAUUUGACAUGCUUGGGAAUCCCCUGGAAACAGGGGAGUGCCCCUCGGGGAGCCCUUGCACAGGUGCUGCAUGGCUGUCGUCAGCUCGUGUCGUGAGAUGUCGGGUUAAGUCCCUUAACGAGCGAAACCCUUGUCGUUAGUUGCCAGCGGGUCAUGCCGGGGACUCUAACGAGACUGCCGGUGUUAAACCGGAGGAAGGUGGGGAUGACGUCAAGUCCUCAUGGCCUUUAUGUCCAGGGCUGCACACGUCCUACAAUGGUGCGUACAAAGGGAAGCAAACUCGCGAGAGUAAGCAAAUCCCAAAAAGCGCGCCCCAGUUCGAAUUGCAGGCUGCAACUCGCCUGCAUGAAGCCGGAAUCGCUAGUAAUCGCGGGUCAGCAUACCGCGGUGAAUGUGUUCCUGAGCCUUGUACACACCGCCCGUCAAGCCACGAAAGUGGGGGGCCGGCGAAGUCGCCGAGCUAACCCGUAAGGGAGGCAAGCGCCGAACCGGAACUCCGCGAUUGGGACU
rnacentral:rRNA from 1 species